rnacentral:rRNA from 1 species
GCCAGACUCCUACGGGAGGCAGCAGUGGGGGAUAUUGCACAAUGGGGGGAACCCUGAUGCAGCGACGCCGCGUGGGCGAUGGAGUACUUCGGUAUGUAAAGCCCUAUCAGCAGGGAAGAAAAUGACGGUACCUGACUAAGAAGCCCCGGCUAAAUACGUGCCAGCAGCCGCGGUAAUACGUAGGGGGCAAGCGUUAUCCGGAUUUACUGGGUGUAAAGGGAGCGUAGACGGCUAAUCAAGUCAGAAGUGAAAACCCAGGGCUCAACCUUGGGAGUGCUUUUGAAACUGAGUAGCUAGAGUGCAGGAGAGGUAAGCGGAAUUCCUAGUGUAGCGGUGAAAUGCGUAGAUAUUAGGAGGAACACCAGUGGCGAAGGCGGCUUACUGGGCUGUAACUGACGUUGAGGCUCGAAAGCGUGGGGAGCAAACAGGAUUAGAUACCCCUGUACA